AAGGGUGUAGUUUAAUAGUUAGAGCUGUAAUAUUUAUAUUAUAAGUGUAGGUUCGAUUCCUACUGCCCUUG